rnacentral:misc_RNA from 1 species
AAGUCGUAACAAGGUUUCUGUAGGUGAACCUGCAGAAGGAUCAUUAGUGAAGAUUCAAGGGCCAGCCAUACAGACGUACAAUAAGUGUGUCUCUGGCGGCUCGCACCCACUAUACAUCCAUAAACCCGUGUGCACUGUUCUAAGGAGUAAGAAAGAAGAAGGGGAGGGGAGAGAGAGUGCAUGUGCUUUGCAUAUAACUCUCUCUCACUCUCCACUCUCUUUCUCUCUCCGGUUAAUUACAAACUCGUAUGGAUUUGUAUGAACGUGAGAUAUAUCGUUGGACCGUCACUGGCCAACAAAUAUAACACAACUUUCGACAACGGAUCUCUUGGUUCUCC